rnacentral:lncRNA from 1 species
AUUUUUAUUACUUGUACGAUUUCGUACACUUGCCAAUUUGUCAACAAGUUUUUGGCGCCGUUGCCGGGGACUCGAGGUUUAUUUGUCUAGUAGUGUGAAUUGAUUGGAUUUGACUUGAUUGUAAUUAUUUUUGUUUUUAUUUUUCUUUUACUGCAUUUUGUUUUAUUGUCUAUAAAAGUGCUUUUAGGGUGUGUUCCUUGUGAAUGCAGGAGACAAUACACACUAGAAGCAGGAAAAACCAACAACCUCUGCUUGAAGGUCUACCAUACGAGAGGAGGAAGAGACGCCCUUUUUGUGAAAGAUCUCUUUCUCCAGAAGUUACUCCACCAGAGACUUUUGAACCAAAUCUUGAGGAGAUGGCCCUUCAACCUCCUCCCAGACGCACUCUAGGAUACGCAGCUAAUACAGUUGGC